GGUUUCUUGGCUCAGUUGGUCAGCGCGUCUCCUUAACAAGCUGUGUAGCCUUGAGUUGCACGCCUGGUUAAUCGGAGGAGGUCCUCAGUUCGAGCCUGGGAGAGAUCA
rnacentral:tRNA from 1 species